GGCUAUGACGGGUAGCUGGUCUGAGAGGACGACCAGUCACACUGGAACUGAGACACGGUCCAGACACCUACGGGUGGCAGCAGUCGAGAAUUUUUCUCAAUGGGGGCAACCCUGAAGGAGCGACGCCGCGUGGAGGAUGAAGGCUUUCGGGUUGUAAACUCCUGUCAUUUGGGAACAAGUGGUCGAACGUAACUGCUUCGGCCUUGAUAGUACUAGAAGAGGAAGGGACGGCUAACUCUGUGCCAGCAGCCGCGGUAAUACAGAGGUCCCAAGCGUUGUUCGGAUUCAUUGGGCGUAAAGGGUGCGUAGGUGGCGCCGUAAGUCGGGUGUGAAAUUUCGGAGCUUAACUCCGAAACUGCAUUCGAUACUGCGGUGCUUGAGGACUGGAGAGGAGACUGGAAUUCAUGGUGUAGCAGUGAAAUGCGUAGAGAUCAUGAGGAAGACCAGUGGCGAAGGCGGGUCUCUGGACAGUUCCUGACACUGAGGCACGAAGGCCAGGGGAGCAAACGGGAUUAGAUACCCCGGUAGUCCUGGCAGUAAACGGUGCACGUUUGGUGUGGGAGGAUUCGACCCCUUCCGCGCCGGAGCUAACGCGUUAAACGUGCCGCCUGGGGAGUACGGUCGCAAGAUUAAAACUCAAAGGAAUUGACGG
rnacentral:rRNA from 1 species